CACUCCGUCUCGCUCAGCUGGAUUUUUAGGUACGAGCAGCCCGGGGCCGAUGGCGGACCUUUAUGGAACAGCCAGUCAGGAGUCAGCUGUCAGCAGUUACCUCAGCGCUGCAAGCCCCGCCCCAAGCACUGGAUUCAGCCAUAGUUUGGGGGGCCCUUUGAUCGCCACGGCCUUCACUAACGGCUAUCACUGAGAGAAGCAGAGCUGUAGACCUAGAGCUGGAAGGAGUUGAAGCUGCUUUGGAGCUGAUCUGGCCUGUCUCUGUCCGCUCCGCCUCUCCGGCUGGUGCAGCUGAACCUUCACCCCUCCACCCCUGGUGUCAGCCUGAUCCCAGCCCACCCUACUGACGCCUCACUAAACUCCACCUCCUGAGGAAAAAACAAGUUCAUAAAAGGAGUGAAAAAGUUUAUCACUACAUGUAAUAGCAACACAUACAC